CCUACGGGUGGCAGCAGUGAGGAAUAUUGGUCAAUGGACGCAAGUCUGAACCAGCCAUGCCGCGUGCAGGAAGAAGGCUCUAUGAGUUGUAAACUGCGUUUGUACGAGGGUAAACGCAGAUACGCGUACCUGUCUGAAAGUACCGUACGAAUAAGGAUCGGCUAACUCCGUGCCAGCAGCCGCGGUAAUACGGAGGAUUCAAGCGUUAUCCGGAUUUAUUGGGUUUAAAGGGUGCGUAGGCGGGCGGUUAAGUUAGGGGUGAAAUCCCGAGGCUCAACUUCGGAAUUGCCUCUGAUACUGUUCGGCUAGAGCGUAGUUGCGGUAGGCGGAAUGUAUGGUGUAGCGGUGAAAUGCUUAGAGAUCAUACAGAACACCGAUUGCGAAGGCAGCUUACCAAGCUACUUCUGACGUUGAGGCACGAAAGCGUGGGUAGCAAACAGGAUUAGAUACCCGUGUAGUC
rnacentral:rRNA from 1 species